rnacentral:rRNA from 1 species
GACGAACGCUGGCGGCGUGCUUAACACAUGCAAGUCGAACGGUGAAGCGCCUUCCUUUUUGGUGGGUGUUGAUGAGUGGCGAACGGGUGAGUAACACGUGAGUAACCUGCCCCCUUCUUCUGGAUAACCGCAUGAAAGUGUGGCUAAUACGGGAUAUUCUGGGUCUGUCGCAUGAUGGGUCUGGGAAAGAUAUUGUUUCGGUGGGGGAUGGGCUCGCGGCCUAUCAGCUUGUUGGUGGGGUGAUGGCCUACCAAGGCGGUGACGGGUAGCCGGCCUGAGAGGGUGGACGGUCACACUGGGACUGAGACACGGCCCAGACUCCUACGGGCGGCAGCAGUGGGGAAUAUUGCACAAUGGGCGCAAGCCUGAUGCAGCGACGCCGCGUGAGGGAUGGAGGCCUUCGGGUUGUGAACCUCUUUCGCCAGUGAAGCAGGCCUGCCUCGUUUGUGGGUGGGUUGACGGUAACUGGAUAAGAAGCGCCGGCUAACUACGUG